rnacentral:rRNA from 1 species
UACGUAGGGUGCAAGCGUUGUCCGGGAAUUAUUGGGCGAAAAGAGCUCGUAGGCGGUCUGUCGCGUCGCUGUGAAAACCCGAGGCUCAAACCUCGGGCCUGCAGUCGAUACGGGGCAAAACUAGAGUCUGCAGGGGGAGACUGGAAUUCCUGGUGUAGCGGUGGGAAUGCGCAGAUAUCAGGAGGAACACCGGUGGCGAAGGC